rnacentral:rRNA from 1 species
GAUGAACGCUGGCGGCGUGCCUAAUACAUGCAAGUCGAGCGAACAGACGAGGAGCUUGCUCCUUCGACGUUAGCGGCGGACGGGUGAGUAACACGUAGGUAACCUACCUAUAAGACUGGGAUAACUUCGGGAAACCGGAGCUAAUACCGGAUAAUAUUUCGAACCGCAUGGUUCGAUAGUGAAAGAUGGCUUUGCUAUCACUUAUAGAUGGACCUGCGCCGUAUUAGCUAGUUGGUAAGGUAACGGCUUACCAAGGCAACGAUACGUAGCCGACCUGAGAGGGUGAUCGGCCACACUGGAACUGAGACACGGUCCAGACUCCUACGGGAGGCAGCAGUAGGGAAUCUUCCGAAAUGGGCGAAAGCCUGACGGAGCAACGCCGCGUGAGUGAUGAAGGUCUUCGGAUCGUAAAACUCUGUUAUUAGGGAAGAACAAACGUGUAAGUAACUGUGCACGUCUUGACGGUACCUAAUCAGAAAGCCACGGCUAACUACGU